rnacentral:rRNA from 1 species
UACGGAGGGUGCAAGCGUUAAUCGGAAUUACUGGGCGUAAAGCGCACGCAGGUGGCUGAGUCAGUCGAUUGUGAAAGCCCUGGGCUUAACCUAGGAAUUGCAGUCGAUACUACUCAGCUAGAGUAUGGGAGAGGGCAGUGGAAUUCCCGGUGUAGCGGUGAAAUGCGUAGAUAUCGGGAGGAACAUCAGUGGCGAAGGCGGCUGCCUGGCCCAAUACUGACACUCAGGUGCGACAGCCAGGGGAGCAAACGGG